rnacentral:pre_miRNA from 1 species
CUACUACUCCCUCCGUCCGGAAAUAAUUGUUUAAAAAUAGAUGAAUCUAGAUUUAUUUUAGUUACAGAUACAUUCAUUAUAUCAAUUUUUAAGACAAGUAUUUCCAGACGGAGGAAGCAUUUU